GGGGAGGUUGCAGUGGCCAUGGCUGCUGCUGCCUUUGGCUUGUGGAAGAAUCAGUGGCAGAGAAGAAGAUGAAUGAGGUGAGAUUUUUAGAUUUGGUUUUUGGAUUUAGCUUAAGCUUAUUGUUGUUGGUGGCCAUGGAAAUUUUGUGGGAGGCUGUCAUUGAUCAACCCUCUCUUCUCAUUGGAUGGAACUUGCCACGUAACCUUAUCCCUUAUCCAUCUCUCUCUCGCUCUCACACAUGAGAAUGGGCUAGCCCAUGUGGGUUUCAAAGGUUUGAAUUUAGGGCCUCUCCCUCAAUGGGCUAAAAGCGUACCUAAUGGUGACGGGGUACCGACGUUGGACCAUAAAACGUGUCAAGCCUACAUCGUAAGCUAGUCUACAUAAUCUAAAAUCUAGAGCUCUGAUGGCAACUAUAACGACCCUAAAUUUCUAUAUACACAAAAUUGUUA